rnacentral:ncRNA from 2 species
GGCAUCCACCACAGGAGUCCCGAGGCAGGGGCUGAGAGGGAGCUGAAGCCGCUCCGACUGUUGAACCUGAUCCGGGUCAUGCCGGCGAAGGAAGCGAGGAGCUGUCCCUGU